UACGUAGGGAGCGAGCGUUGUCCGGAUUUAUUGGGCGUAAAGGGCGCGUAGGCGGUUAAGUAAGUCGGGUGUUAAAUCUCCAAGCUCAACUUGGAGCUGCCACUCGAAACUGCUUUGACUUGAGUCUGGUAGGGGAACACGGAAUACCUGGUGUAGCGGUGAAAUGCUUAGAUAUCAGGUGGAACACCAGUGGCGAAGGCGGUGUUCUGGGCCAGUACUGACGCUGAUGCGCGAAAGCGUGGGGAGCGAACAGG
rnacentral:ncRNA from 2 species